CUAUGGCAACUAUUUUGUCAUGGCGGAAGGAG
rnacentral:ncRNA from 1 species